rnacentral:rRNA from 1 species
GUAGGGUGCGAGCGUUAAUCGGAAUUACUGGGCGUAAAGCGAGCGCAGACGGUUACUUAAGCAGGAUGUGAAAUCCCCGGGCUCAACCUGGGAACUGCGUUCUGAACUGGGUGACUAGAGUGUGUCAGAGGGAGGUAGAAUUCCACGUGUAGCAGUGAAAUGCGUAGAGAUGUGGAGGAAUACCGAUGGCGAAGGCAGCCUCCUGGGAUAACACUGACGUUCAUGCUCGAGAGCGUGGGUAGCAAGCAGGAUUAGAUACCCUGGUAGUCCACGCCCUAAACGAUGUCAAUUAGCUGUUGGGCAACUUGAUUGCUUAGUAGCGUAGCUAACGCGUGAAAUUGACCGCCUGGGGGGU